rnacentral:rRNA from 1 species
AUACGGGGGGUGCAAGCGUUAUUCGGAUUUAUUGGGCGUAAAGGGCGCGUAGGCGGCUUGGAAAGUCAGAUGUGAAAGCCCGGGGCUCAACCCCGGAAGUGCAUUUGAAACUAUCAGGCUUGAGUAUGGGAGAGGGAAGUGGAAUUCCUGGUGUAGAGGUGAAAUUCGUAGAUAUCAGGAGGAACACCGGUGGCGAAGGCGACUUCCUGGACCAAUACUGACGCUGAGGCGCGAAGGCGUGGGGAGCAAACAGGAUUAGAAACCCUAGUAGUCC